CUGAGAUAACUGCCCUACGGGUAGAACUCACACCCUUGAAUACAAUACCUUUUGUUGCUUUGGCGGGCCCCAGGCUCCGGCACACCGGCUUUGGCUGGUGAGUGCCCGCCAGAGAACCGAAAACUCUGAAUUAAAUGUCGUCUGAGUACUAUGUAAUAGUUA
rnacentral:misc_RNA from 1 species